AGGCCUUCCACUUCACAUGCUUAGAACUGCAUGUCGAACUGUCAUGAUUAAUGGCCUACUUGUUGUCCAGGCCCAUCUCCAUGGUCUGUUUUCUUCACCAGUGCCUUUUGUUACUUGUGAUUGAGUAGCACUCAGCUUGUAAGGGCGUUACGUGGCAACUGCAAUGUCACGGUACUGCUCCCUCAUGCUUAUCUCAUUCUCAAUUUGAGAUGGCAGUUUUUUAAAGGCGAUAGUAAGGUGAAUGAGCUGGUCACUGUAGUCUAUAGUCGUCCAUCAGCUCCGACCACUUUUAAUUAGGGCACGCACCAAAGCCCUAAUGAAGGUACAUCUUCUAACAAACUACGCAGCAGGUGCCCAACUUUCAACACUAGUUGAAGCUACAUUUAUGCCACAGGCAAUUUAGUUUGUACUGGCUUUAAAUAAAAAGUCACCUGUGACAGAUGACGCAUUAUGGCCUCUUCAGGUAGAUUUCUGGAAGAGACUGACAUUACUUGUACAUCGAAUUACAAUUACCAGUAGCGGAAUAAAAAUUCACUAAUUAACUUUUUAAUUACUCACUUUAGGGCACAUGUUGUAAUGCAAACUUGAAGCCAAGCAGUGGUCAGUGGAGGAGCGGCUGUACCGGUUGUGGAGAAUUGCAGUGAUAACGGUCUUCUGCGGCAUCCGGCUCCAAAAUGUAAUUUUAGCAAAAAAUUUUACUCACCCUUUCUCAAAAAUGCUACAGAGGCAAAUCGAGCUGUCAUAGCUGCGAAUACAGUAGGAUCUCGUUAAAUGGAACCUGAAGGGACCAGGAAAAUAUGUUUCAUUUAACAGGAGGAGUGUUUACUGAGAGAGGAACACGGGUGCGGAAUUCAAGUACAAAAUCAACCAUAUUAGAAGCAGUUGUUCCAUUUAAGCCGCAGUGCCAUUUAAGAUAUUUCCGUUUACUGAGAGUUUACUGUAUAGUACUGUAUAGUUAAACGAUGAUGCAAUGAAAUCGGUAAAAUUGGCAGUUUACUUCAUUUAUAACAAAGGAUUCCAGCCAAUCCUCAACGUCUUUCUCAUCGGUGCUGCUGAAGAUGUCGAAUUCUCGCUGACGCUGGGCACCGGCACAUGCAACGGGUGAUGAGGCCAGUGGGGAUGUCGCAUUGGCAUUGUCAGGCAUGACGGACAGCAACUUUCGGCUACUUAAUUCCAGUGCUGGGGAAAAGCGGUGUUUGCGCCUGAACAGCAGCAGCAAGAGCUGGACGGGCACAGGCAGCGUUGCAGCAAAUACAGGCUAGGCAGCUCCAGUUCGUGCCUCGCACAGGGCUGGCGAUGUGGCUGCAGCGCUGAGCAUUCCUCUUCACUACACAUUAUAUUAAAAUUUUAUCUUUUAGGCAAAGCAUAGUUGCCGAUAGAUUCUUCUUUACAUGAAGGGGGCCUUAACAGUGUCUGGAUAAUAAGACAACACGAAAGAAAAAAAAUUAAAAUUUUAGCUCCAUUGAAAACGACUUGUUUGUAGUUUAGCGAAGUAGCUUUGUGUCACAGUUUCGAUUUUACAGACUUUCUGCAUAUUGCUUGCAUGCACCUAUUUUCUUUACCACAAAUGAAAGAUGGUAAAACUUUGGUCGAUAUAGGGCUGACCUUUUACACUCAAACUUCUGGGUGGAAACAUUGCUGGUAGGUGGCAAGAACUACCGUCUAACGAAAUUGAGUGUAUUGUCAUGGUUUCACUCUUUGUUGUGUAAAAGUGAACUGUGCCCCUCAACUUUGGUGUGGCUGACACCACACUGUGCGUUUCGAUCUCAAAGGCCAGCCGACCAGUAAUUAUGACUUUGAUGUUAUGCUCAUCAAAGUCGGUGUGAUGCCUAUACCAGUGGUGGUCCAACUGUGCCAUUUGUGCCACUUUCCUACAGUCCAAUUACUGCGCCUCGCUGCACCAAUCCCAGUAUAAGCUGCACCUAAGUUCACUGUUUUGGCUUUUCACACAGCAACUGAGCGCUUUUUGCCCAAAAUUUUCUUAGUCUGGCCCGAAAUACCUCGAGAGCUUUUUCAAAUUCUGGCAAAUCGCCUCCUCUCUCUCUCUUUUUGUCAUUAAUGCAUACACGUACAGAGAGUCCAGGUGGGUCUAACCAAAGUGUAUCAGUGCCACCGCAUCUUCCUCUGGCCUCCCCAUCAGCGGUUUGACAUGUUGCCCUUUUUAGUCUCGGAGGCCAUCACUCUUGAUGGGGAUCUCAUGGUAAGACCUACACAAAGGACCUAAAUGUUUUGGAGCUGCUAGGCGCAUCGUUAAGUUGCGUAGAAGGGCCUUGUGGCUACCGCUGUAUACACAGCACUGCGUGUUGUAAACGGGGUCUUCACACAAAUAAUAUAGCGGAUCUGUGGCAGUUUCUCAGCAAGCAAAAGAACAUUGCUAACAGUCGUGCUGCGGAAUGUUCUUGGAUAUGCUGAUUGUACUGUUAUUCCUAACUGCCAUCAUUGCCCGCAGGCACCAUAAUGCAGUGCCGCUUGCAUGCGUCGAUGCACUCAUCAUGCCUUUUGAUUACGAUACCGAUGUGGUGCACUUGUAAAACAUCAUGCAUAGAAAAUGAGCCAUGCGGUUACCAAGACACCAUGGGCUGCACAAAUGCGUGACCGUGCUUGUGUGCCAUUAUAAAACUCUGUUUAAACAUCAUCAGUCGGCAACAUGUGGCACACAACUGGUUCCCAGCCUGCAAAACUUUCCAAUUCGUUCCCACUCAUGUGCAUAGGUCGGCAAACUCAAUCAUGAGCCGACUCACUCAGACUCAGAUUAAGCUGUGAGUCUGAGUCUGAGUGAGUCCGGGUGAGUGAUAUUUCAGUGAGUUUGAGUCCGAGUGAGUCGGAUUGAGAAAAAUUUCAGUGAGUCUGAGUCCGAGUGAGCCCUGAAUGCAAAAUAUAUUUCUUGAGUGAGUCUGAGUGAGCUCCACAUUUUUUUGCCAACCUAUGGUUCUAUCUACACAACUUCAGCCUCUGUCAGUCUUAUCAAGAUUACCUGCGUCGAUUAGAAAAUUAUAAGCUCCAUAAAGCCUGGUACACUUACUUUUGUGGGCAAAGCUGGCAGACAGCCACUACAAGCUAAUAAAAACACAAACAACGUUUUGAAGCUGGAAAAAUAGCUUUAGUAACUAGCUUUUACAGCACAGCAAAAGCUUGCGAUGCACAUCUUUCGGUCCACAAACCUGUUGCGAACCUAGCGGCAGUUGCAAGCAACUAGAGUACUUUGGUGAUGCGCUUGCAGCGCUCGUUUGGCCACCUCUCCUAUUCUACCACCGUGGAUGAGUCCUAAGCUCCGAUGCCGUGUCAGUAUCGCUACUCACCGACUGCAAAUGUGCAGAUGCGGUAUGCGAUGGAUUUCAUUCAAUCUAAAAUGCAGUGCAAGUUGUCUAAGUCAAUAAGCUCUGUAAUUUAAUGGCGGGUAAAGGGCUUAGGUUUGCAUUAGUUUUGAGCACACGUUUAUGGUUAAAACCCCCUUCACAGAACCCAGUCGAUCUCAGGUAUGCUUCCCAGGAAUAAAAAAAAAUAUGUAUUGCGUUGAAGCCUGCCAAUAUGGUCUGUGGGGUUGCGAUACAUGGUGUAGUUGGUAUUCGUCAUUUAAUUGAACACACUUGCUCCCAUGCAUGCUGUACACGUUGUGCCAAUAUUUGCCUGCCUAGUAAAUAGUUCAUUAUUAUGAAACACGAUGGAGCAUAGGCGUGCAAAGUUAGGCAGGCGACAGGAUAAUGUGCACAUAAGUUCUAGUUCACAGCAAUUUUUAAAUGUAUAGGGGCUUUGGGCAUCGGGUUUUCUGAUUAGGUUUUCUUCGAAAUGACAUUUUGACGUCUCUCGCACACAGAAACUGUACAUUUCUUGUUCGCCUUUGCCACUAAUAUAUCACCACAAUACACUUUUUGUAUAUCGCAGUGAAGUCAACACAUAUGGCAUUACUCUGUGUCAAGAAAUACUGUUCUCUGAUGGCUGGCUUUCUCUGUUUCCCUACAUUGGAACAACGUUUCCUGUUCGCUCAGUGAUGACAAUCUGCAUGAAAUAGUCACACUUAAUUUUGUACGUACAGCUCUAAGUGUCCCCAAGCACCAAUUUUUCUGCUCCAGAUCUGCUUGUGAACAGCUGUCUUCCUGCUCCAAAUAUUGCUCCAAAUUUUAUAUCAGCUGGACCACCACUGCUAAUGGAUGAGCAUUGUAAAUGCUUGGAAAUAUGGUGGGCACGAACAAAGGCGCAGGUACAACUUAUCAGCGUUAUCGCCGACAAUCCUCUUGUGAUAAGCAUCUUUAAUUAUCUGCUCAGCAACAUGUGUGGCAUAAUGCAUACUGCGGGCUUUUAAUAGGCGAAAACGCAGGUGCGCUUCAUCACCAUUCACUGCCAGUACACACCGCCAUUCACUGCAGUUCUGCCAUGAAGGUUUGUGAGUGUGGCUUCAAUGUUUGUCCAUAUGCUUAUUGGACAGAAAGAGGAGAGCUCGUGUGAAAGCAGAAAGCGUGACAUUCACUUUAUUGCGAUAAAGUGUACACUUGUCACCGAAAGCUCAGGGACCACAGAUGCCACAAGAUUUCUACGUUCUUUGCAUACAGAUUGAAAUUAAGUGGUACAGCCCAUGUGCACCUUUUCAGUCAGUGCAGUACAUUUAAACAAUUUCACGUUGCACUGCUGUGCUUGAAUAUAUUAACAUUUUCUAUUGAUGCCAUGAUAUCCAAACUUAUGCGCACAAGUACUAAACACUUCAGGAAGCUCAGCUUUGCAAAAGUAAUUUCAUUUUCUAUGUUAGUAUGCUGAGUACUGUUGAACCUCAUUAUAGCUAUGUCGCAUUGGACAUAAAAAUUCCUUGAUUAUGGUCAAUGUUCAUUCUAAAUAAAUUUUUUGCACAUUGAUAUUAACAAGGAUUACUUCAUUAUAUGCUAUAAUUUGUUAUAUCUGUGUUCGUUAUGUCAAGGCCCAGCUGUAUCUUGUAGGAUCUAUCUCGUAUGAGAAAAAAAAGAAAAGAAGUAGCCAAUUGAUGCCUACAGCAGAUAUCUAAUGUUAAAAGAUUUUUAUACAUGCCUGUGUCUUAAGUUGAAGCUGCUGUGAGUGUCUGACACUGUACACUUCUGAAAUGUGCCUCCUAUAAAUAGAUGACCUUGUACAUUUGCUAUUCAGAAAAUGUCAUUGCUUAUGGCCCAACUCUGGUUAUUUUCUGCGGUCAGUGGAUCUCGAGGAACUUCACUGGAUGCAUCCCAUGCCCUUCAUACUUCCAUCAGUUGUGCAAAACGAUAGGCUUAGGAGAUGUGCAGAUUUCAUGCAAAUGAAUUUUAUUGAUUACCUCGAACCGCCCGCUUGGCGUCCCACAAUUAUUGGCCACUUUGUGUAUUGCAUAUACGCAUACACGCACGAAGCAUGCAGGGAAGGAAUAGAUGGCAGCAAAGGCAGCUGGCAACGAUGCUGCAUUGUUGGCUACAUGUACUUCAACCCUCGCCAACCACACGUGAAGUAUGAGCUGAUGCUGAACGCAUACAUCGUGGUAAGGCCUUAGCACAGCCUCCAAGUUCGUGCACCUGCUAUACUAACGAACGUUACCUGCAGCGUGGGUAAAGUAUAAUUGAUUUAAUAGUUCGGUUUUGAGCACAUGGAUCAAAAGUAAAUGUUUCUUCAUUUCGUACAAUGCAAGCAAAAAAUGCGAAAAGCAGCCAGAUGGUGCACAUAGAAUUGCCAUUACUUUGACAUGGUAAAAAUGUCAUCAGAGUUGGGCCUUAAGUGGUAGAGCUAAUUUAAAUGUGCAGAGUUACAACUUCAGCAUGUGUCAUUUUGUAUCUCUGUGUCAACGAGUGAAGAAAAUGGCUGUGGAAUGUAUUUAAUGUGUCAAGUACUGUUAAGGACUGACAUGAUAUCACUAUAGUUACAUGAUUUCUAUAUGCAAGUGGAGGUUGUAUGUAAAAGCAUUCAUACUCCAUUUGGAACAACUAGCAGUUGCACACCUGAGUGUGUUCAAAAUGAUCUUACUUAUUACAACCAAGUACUAGUCAGUUGAAUAAAAUAGUUUGUAAAAUUUUGUUGAUGUAUAGAUAUGAAUAAAAUUAGUUUUAUAAAGUUGA